rnacentral:lncRNA from 1 species
UUCGACUCUGCAGUUUCCACGCAUUAUCUAUGAAAUGAGCAAUGAUAACCAUGAAUCUUUUCUUUUGAUUAGAAGAGGUCCACAUGUCGGUAGUGAUCAAAAUUCGUCUCUCAAUCUUCUCAAGUGCAAUCAUAUUUUUGGCUCUCUCGUAUUCAUAGAUUUUCAAAAUGCCACUCUUCAAAGUGUUACGAGAAGGAACUUUAAACAAUGGUUGUAGGUCAUGCAAGAACUCUCAAAAUCCAAUGUGAUCAACCAUAGACAAAGUAUACUCAUGCAAAAUCACCAUUUUCGAAAGACUAUAUCUACACUUAUCUGGAUUGAAAGAGUAAGUACCCAAUGUGACCUUGCCACUCAUGGCAUCCUUUUUGAAAUUUAAUGUUGCUUGGUGAGUAUUAUCCAUAUAAUGGAAUACACAUCUCUCUAAAUGAUCAUGCAAAUGCUUUGUACCAUUUUUUGUUUCACCCCCUAGCCGUUUCUUGCAAUGAUUGCAUAUAGCCUUCCAUUUCUCACCAAUUUUCUGUCUUUUGUAGUGCUCCCACACAGUUGAAGUCAAUUUCCUCUUUCCAAAUGAUAUUUCUCCAAUAUCACGCUCCUCGUCACUUAGGUUUAUUGUCCUUUCAUCCGCAUUUGGUAACAGUUCAACUGGAUCUUCUUGCGGGACAUUGCUCUCCAAUAAAUCGGUCAUGCUAUCUUCCUCGUGUAUUAGUCCUAAUCCAAUACUUCCAGCACUACUUAGAUCAGACAUCUGUGCAAAUAACAAACGACAUU